UGCCUGGUGAUGAUACCCAUCCUUGCUCCCCACGUCCCCCAGGGACUAUGGGCGACAUCAUGGCUGCCCCCAGGCUGGGCUGGUUGGGCUGAUGCCUGGGGGCUGAGGGCA
ensembl:snoRNA SNORD23 small nucleolar RNA, C/D box 23